rnacentral:misc_RNA from 1 species
AAGUCGUAACAAGGUUUCCGUAGGUGAACCUGCGGAAGGAUCAUUAACACAACAAGUCAACAUUCCGCAAGGAGUGUUUUCUUCUUAACCCCCCUUUUGUGAACGUGUGUUUCUAUACUGUUUGGAGGGCAGAGAGAGAGGGAGCGCGUCUUCGUCUUCUCUUUGCCCUUUUUUCAACCUUUUAUUAACCCCUUGAACUGUUUAUGACUGAACUUAGUUUGAUUUUGCUCCUCUUUCGAGAGCGGCAGAAGAAGACUAGACAUCCAACGCUGAACAACUCUUAGCAACGGAUAUCUUGGCUCUC